CUGCAAGUGCGAAAUUUAUUAUAGUUGAUGUCAUGUUGCAGAAACCCACCAAAUUUUUAUUUACAAAUCAAUAGGCUGACAGCUUCCCCUGUGCCAAAGUCUACCUUCAACCGUGCAUGGUUCAGUGAGGUGGGAACAAUGAGAGGACUCCCAUAUAUCCUCUAUACUGGUUCAAAGACGGUAGAAAAGCCAUUGCAAGUCACAAAUCAUUACUCGCAGCGAUAUUGAAAACAAAAGGUGGAAAAACAGACCACCUUAUGUUUAUCUCAGAAAAACAAACAACAUAUAUGAUUCUGGACCACCAUAUGAUAUUCCCACUUGACAAAACACGAAAGUAAGACCUGGCUUUCAUUAUUGCAUUAGAAUAACCGGAAUAAUACAUUAUAAAAACCAAAAAUAUCCUUAAUGAAAGAGACCGGAAUGUGCAGUCAACUUGCGAUGGCAGGCAGUAGCUUGGAGCUCAUUCAUCAGGCAUCAAAAUAAUUUUAGUCUCCCCCAAUCAAUUAGGACUUAAGUUCCUCCUCCAGUGCAGUACGGAACUUCAUGUAGGUAUAUCAUACUGAAACAACAAUUCAACAACAGAACUUCAAUAAUUUAUGCUAGUUUAAACCAUAAUUACCGACAUAAAGAACACGCAACUGCAGGUAACAGGUUGCUGACAUUUGUCUUUCUUUUAAAGAAAACGCGCAUGAUGAAUUCUGUUUAGUUCAAUGGAGUGCAAGAAUCUAGUUGUCAAGAAGCACAAUAAUCUAAUGGAUUGACAACAAACGAUGAGCAUCUUUUGGACGUCAUACAACAAUAAUGUUACUAAACAAAAGUGGAUCACCAAUGGUAGAAAUUCAUGCAUAAGACUAUUAGUUAGUUCUUACUUCUUACAUCAAACGCAAAUCGUCAAACUUCACUACGUCCAUACCAGCCAAAUAAAGAUCCGGUUCAAAUUUAAGCUUGUCAAGAAAGUAGAGCGUUACACCAAUUACCAGAAAGACUACCUUAGUAGCUUAAGGUCACUUUGGUGAUCUCUGUUGCUCUGAAGGGAAAAAGAAAGGCAUUCAGCAUGAUAAUAGUAUAUAUGUACAUUGCUUUGAGGGAAAAACAGAGAGAUAAUUGCAGACUAAUUUUACAACUGGGCUAACAAAUGCAUGGAAUGCAUAUAUGCAGAUAGGGACCCUGGACUAGAACAAAUACUCGCUGGUAUUGCCACCAGAGAAUGCGUAUACAUUAUACUUCAUCUACAAUUUGCAAAAACCAUAGGAGGUUUUGUUGUCUGGCAUGAUGAUUCUGUGUCAGAGACAAACUUAAUCAUGUGAUGACUCCAACAAGAGAUAAUGACACAAGCAUAAGCUGACUAAAACGACAAGAGUGAUUCAAAGCAGCCAACAAACCUAUAAAUCUUUCACCUUUUUAAAUUUUUCUCCUAGGGUAAGGAUGCAUUUUGUUUUUUCAGUAAAAAAUUGUGGCAGAUCAAUUCAACAACAACAACAUUUCUAUCACGAGUCGAUAUAUGCAUGCAGUAUGCAUUUGCAGACAUGCUUGCAUGUAUGCACAGCCAAGGACCUAAAAUUGCUAGAUGCUUGUGUUUUGAGAAUCUGUAAAUUUCACAUGUUUGAAUGAAGUGUAUGACAUCUGGCAUGAUGUUUCCUUGAUCUUGACAGUCUUGAUUCAGGUGAAAAUUAAGGAGGUAAAGAAACUCAAAUAUAAGAAACAACUGCAAAUGGAUAUUACAAGUGCUAAUGAAGUAUGCUAUUAUGUAAGCACUGGCCCGAUGUUUUCAAUCCCAAAGCUCACAAUAAUACAAAAGGCUAUUCUGCUCCCAGAAAUAAAAUACCUUGUGCAUAAGAAGAAAGAUUCCAUCAAUAUUGCACAGAGAUACAAAGCUUUCAGCUGAAAUGUCAACAAUACCAACAACUGGGGAUUAAAAUAUGCAUUUACCAGUAAGCCUCAUAUGUGCACUGCCUAUAAAGCUAAGGCAGGUGAAAGAUGGCAUAAACAUACAACAAAGGCAAAGUAUCAGAUAUGGCUGAUCCAUCAUGUGAUGAUAGUGGCAAAGGAGUGAAAGUUAUGAAAUCAGAAGAUGCUUUGGAAGGACGAAAAUUAUCAUGGGGAAAGCUUCGUCGCAUUGACUCACUGAAUUUGGAGGCAGGGAGAGUCUCAAACAUUCAAACCCAUGGUGCUCAGGUAUGAACUUUCUAUUGUGUCCAACUUUCAUAUAAUAUCCUCAUGAGAUAAAGCAUAAUUCUUUGCAUAUUGAUCAUAUAUGCAACUGGAGCAUGAGUAAAAGCUUAACAACUAAUUUGACAGGGCAGAUGAUUUUGAUGAGAAACAACUAUAUCUACUUUCUUUAGGAGGCAUUGAUAAGCUUUGCUUCUGAUAGCCUUGCAUAAAUUCUCAUCUUGGACAAUCAAUAUGUUGUUGAUAUCAUCUAACAGCAGCAUUAAUGAUAGACUUUGUCAAGUUUCACAAAGUAGAAACAAAUUUAUGCUGUUCAUCAACAUUAAGGCUUGCUACUUUGCGAAAGAUAAUCAAGAAGGUAUAAAAAUGUUUUCAACAGUGAAAAGAAUAAAAAUUUUAGAGAAGAAAUCGUCUGUCUGUCUACUCUUUCAAAUUCCUAGAUGGAUGGAGAUGCUCAUAAAUGCCUGCCUUGUAUUUUUUAAGCAACUCCUUGUAAUGUUUAACUUCUGAAGCAGAUGGGUUCGAGCAGGACACUGCUUCUAGCAUUCCAGAGCAUUGGGGUGGUGUACGGGGACAUUGGGACAUCACCACUAUAUGUCUAUGCAAGCACCUUUACAGAUGGGAUCAAAGAAACAGAAGACCUCUUGGGUGUCCUGUCUCUCAUUCUCUACACUUUGAUUCUCAUACCUCUGCUCAAGUAUGUCCUCACUGUCCUGUGGGCUAAUGAUAAUGGCGAUGGUAAGUCUAUCUCUCCAGCUAUUGUCUGGAUAGAUUUCACAGUAUACCUUAAGAUAGUGAGAAUGGUACAACAAUAAAAAGCAAAAAUAAUUUUGAGAACUGCAUGCAAAGAAUUCUUCUAGUCACUACAAAUGUUACACUCAUGUUGAAGACACUGCAACAUGACCGAAGUCAUCAGAAGAAGGCAAGAACUUCACUAAUAACUAAUAACUAGAACAGUCUAUAAAGAUUAUUAUUUUGUUGACAAGUGAUUACACAUCUUACCAGGGAUUAAGAUAUUGCCUAUACCAGUCCUACACUGCUCAGUGCACACCAUGCCGGUUAGUGACCGGUACAUUGCACUUUUCACGAUGGUUCGACAGAUGAACCAACCUUGUACUGACCCAUUCAGACCUGUGUCAACCUUGUAACUCUCUGUACUAUUUGGUAUAUCUUUUUACACUUUCUUUCUUUCUUCGCUCAUUUCAGCUACUCCAUAAUGUCCUCUGCAGAUGCCAUAGCACCCCUUUACAGCGGUGUAUAAUGUACCAGUUGGUGAGUGGUACUUGUCUAUACCUUAAUAUUUUAAAUCCUCGUUCGAUCCUAUAAACUCCAAAAUACCAUUCACCUUUGCCUUGACUCUUCUUUUGGUUUGUUAUUUCUCCUAUAAUUCUGUUUCAUAAUAGUGGCCUUGAGCAUGAACUUCUACUGUAGCAAAUCACCUGGACAAAAAAUUUUUAGGCAUAUCUUGUUUCUUCUAGGGCAAUAUUACUGGCUCACUUGUUAUUCACUUUUCCACUACCUUACCGACUGAACACAUCCACAUAAGACAUGAUUAAAAUCCAUAUUCUUGCUUAGGAAGGAGGUGAAGAAGCAUUAGAUUUACGUGUGAUGCUUCUAACUGCUCAGGAGAACAAUUGCUAGGCAUAGUUCUUCCAACUCUGGAAAAUCUUCUCUCAUGGCAGAUUCAGUUUGUAGAAACAAGUUUGUUUAUAAAAGAAACAAGCACAUAUAAUGACAAUAAAAACAGACAGAGAUGACAUUUCGACCAUUUAAACUCAUCAAUCUUAACUUGAUCAAAAUAAUCUUAUAGGAGGGACGUUUGCGCUUUACUCUCUGAUAUCUCGGUAUGCAAACGUGAGCUUGAUUCCAAAUCAACAAGCUGAAGAUGCAAUGGUCUCAAACUACAAAUUAGAGACACCAUCAACCAGAAUGAAGAGGGCUCAGUGGGUUAAAGAAAAACUGGAGGGCAGUACAGUGGCUAAGGUUGUGCUUUUCUUCAUCACAAUCCUAGGGACUUCAAUGGUUCUCGGUGAUGGAGUCUUAACUCCAUCCAUUUCAGGUGAAUAAGACAAACUAAUUGAAUUUAUUCAAGUAAUACAUGCAAAUGUUUUGGACUAAAACUUUCAAAAAUAAUGGUAACCAGAAAAUUGAACAUAGAGAUUUUUAAAGCUAUCAAAUAUAUGGUUGACUGACGUUCUUACCUACAUACUUUAGUAAAACUACUUUUUAUCCUCUCUUUUCUCUUCUUAUAACGAGACAUUCUAGGAAAUCUGAUGGCCAGUAUCAGGCCAUUAUAGAUUAAUAACUUGCCGUCAACAGAAACCAAUUGAUUUUUUUGGGUGUUUUGCAGUGCUAUCUGCUGUGAGUGGAAUCAAGGAGAAAGCAACCUCCCUGACUGAAGGUACAUACUAUGUAAAUAAAUACACCAGUACACCACACUCUCAUGUUGCUAAAUAAGUUUGAGAAGCAUACCUAGUGAACCAUAGCAAAUUGCAUCACCACGACAGGACUUGGUUUGCAAUUGUCAGAUGUAUUAGAGUUUUCAAAGAACAAGAAUCUAAGAGGUUACUGACAGAAAGCCCAUUUAUUCAUGUCAUGGAAGUACCUAAACAUGUUUAUUUUCAUUUUAUGGCUAUCGGGAGCAAUUAAAGAAUUACAUACCUUCAAAGCCAAGCAAAUUGAUCUAGUGAAAGCUCCAUCCGUGCACUCAAACAACAGAUGAGUUAUAAAUUAAAUAGCAGCUCAAUGAUUUAUGGUGACAUAUCAUCUUAUUAUGCAAAGAAAAAAAAGAUUAUUCAACUAUUAUAUGCCAAUCAUUCAAUCAAGAUGGUAUAGAAUGUGGAAUUUCAUACGGGUCAGUAAGGCUUACUGCUCGAUAUGUACCACCUGUACUGGCCUAUAUCAUUGUACCAUGUUGGUGUGCCUGCCUUGCCUCCUGGUGCCUUGUGCUUGUAUGUAGGCAUAUGCGGUAUGUGGCGCAUUAGUCAUUAGCAAGCAAGGAUCCAUAUCUUAUUAUUUAAACCUUAUCGAGAGGCAGUCAAAAUGUACCAAUAUAACAGAAUCUAAAAGAGGUCCAAAAAUAUAACAUGCGAGUCCUCUAAUUAUAGGCAUUUGUUAACAAAAUUAACUAUAGGCACAGAAUUCUAGACUUGUGGAUGUCAUAAGUAGGCUACGCUGAAAUCUCUCAAUAGGUAAAACUAAAUGCUUAAAGCACAUAAGAAGCAACUGGGAACUAUAUGACCUACAAUUGGGCCCUAGAGAUGGAUGUCAUUCCAAAUCUUGCAUUCAUUUCUUCUUCAACUAGAUCUUUUUCCAAGGAGGAAUCUUGAAGAGUUGCUUGCCAAUUGUGUGAGCUUAAAGUGCACAAGAUCUCUCUUUUUGCCAACUAGCCAUCUGGUUUUCAAAUUCAGGAAUUGGACAGCAAUUCAUGGGUCCAAUUCAUAGAAGCCUUAUGUCAGAUUGAGAGUUAGUCAAUGGAUGUUCAUGAAAUUAAAUGAACCAUAACAUGAUAGAUAAAGGAGAGCAAAUGCAGUUAAGAUGUUCUUUCGGGUUAAAGAAAGUGAUCGUGGAAUUUAGAGCAUAUGACAGGCUUAUGGCAUUUAAGACUUUGCAUCCAAAUUAGUUAUCUUUAAAAUCCUCAAGCUUUAAAAAAAAAUUAAAAAUUAAAAAUUAAAAAAAUAAAAAAAAAAAAACACAAGAGAUAGCUAAGAUUAAUCAACCCUACAGGACCCUCUAGCUUUAAGUUUCACAACUGUCCAAGCGGUCAUUUCCUUUUUUUUCCAAAAUACCCCUGCCUCUCUUCUUUCCCACAGUGUUUGCUUGGUCAAUGGAAUUAUUGGAAGGAUGAGAGCUUUUGCUUAUGAUUCAAUGCUUGUUUCUAGAACCAGGAAAAUAAAAUUAAAAUUAAAAUGGAUGAGUCCUUAAAGAGUAAUAUGAAGGAUUUCAUAUUAAGGUGCAUCAUAAUUGGAUCAGAGGAAUUUGUCCAGCAAUCUGCACUAUUUUUUUUUGAAAAGUAAGUGAAAAUCAUUUACUAAAUAAAGGACACAGUAGGACAAACCUUAAGUUCUAUUGUCUGCUUACCCAAGCUAUCAUCAUUGAUAAUAGGAACAAAUGUCAUGGCUAGGACAGAUAAUUACAGAUAAGCAACAACUAGAUAUUCUCUUGGGGUACUCUUUUUUUUUUUUUUUCCGGUAAAGGCAAGAUUCAUUUAUAAGGAACUCUUAGUACAACCCAAAACAGUCUUCCCUACUGGUAACAUAUAACAAAAAACCCAGUAGGGUGAUAGAGACACAAGAGGCAGCAAGAAAAAAUAUUGACUGAGGGAGUAAAUACAAAUACAUGUAACAAAGUAGGAGUGACCAGAUAUUAUAGUAGGAAAAGACCUGCUGAACAGCUGAAUGAAGAUUGCACCACAGCAGGAGAAGAUGAAAACCACCAGAUGUCACAGUAAGCUGCACUUUUAAGGCCAAGAAUAGCGUCAUACAGCAAACAGUCCAGAUGAGAGGCAGCGUCAGAUACAGAAGGAAGAAGUUCCACCAGUUUGGGGUACUUGGUGGAACAAUUUUAAACCAAAAAAUCUGUAGCACAAUUAGCUUCUCUCUACACAUGACUGACUUAACAAUCACUUCAAACAGAGACCACAGGCUUCCAUAUUUUGGCAAGAAGGUAGAAAGCAUCCCAAGAUGGUCCCAUAAAUUUGCAAUUGAUUUGCCAACCUAGAUGACAUCCUACAGAAAAUAACUUCCUUCUAGUCUUAUUGCAAAUUACAUAAAAUAAUGAUACUAGUCAAGAACAUCAAGUCUCAAGAAUUAGCUCUAGAAGGCAGUGUCCAGCUAUCAAAAAAGAACAUUAGUUAGCAUAAGAGGAUAAUUUAUAAAGCUGCAGCUAGAAUUUCUUCAAGGACUAACCAGUAAUAAAAACUCAGGUUUUGUAUGCUUUUUUUUCUGUUCAGCCUUCCUUCUCUCUCCAAGUGGUGCAGUUCAACUAUCACUAACUUCUAACCUUUUUGUUUGUUGUUCUUCUGCAGGGAACAUUGUCGUAAUUUCCAUAGCCAUCUUGAUCAUGCUGUUUUCCAUUCAACGUUUCGGCACAGAUAAAGUUGGUUAUUCUUUUGCCCCCAUCAUACUAAUAUGGUUUAGCUUCAUUGGCGGUAUUGGACUCUAUAACUUAAUCAAGUAUGAUUUGGGUGUUUUGCGUGCAUUCAAUCCAAAGUACAUAAUAGAUUAUUUUAAAAGAAAUGGAAAACGGGGAUGGGUCUCUCUUGGUGGUGUUGUGCUGGCCAUUACAGGUGAUUCUAUAAUAGAAUGAUUAGUUCUCAUUAUGAUUUUUUUUGGUUUUUAACCUGGUUUUUCCCUUUAUGUACUAAGAGUACCUGUAUGAAACAGGAACGGAAGCAAUGUUUGCUGACCUGGGUCACUUUAACGUCAGAGCCAUUCAGGUAUUGGCAUACAAUUUUUUUUUUCUUUUCACAGUUCCAACCAAGUCUGACGAAAAUUGUUGGAGUGAACGUGGAUGCAAGUGUUCUAUAUAUGCAUAAUAUCACACACCUUUUAGCAUGCUUUACAAGUUUGUGAUUUUAUUCUCCUGUAGUUCGUAUGAAGCUUUUUCUGGGUGUUACUCCUUCACGCCUUAACCAUCUCUCUUAGUCUCCUCGGAACAUUAUCUCAUAAAACCCUCACUAGAAUAUAAUCACCAUUUCUUUUUCCAUUUUUUCUUCUUGAGAGAAUAGAAUCCAGUCACCAUCACAUCAAAGAAUGUUGGAGUUCGACCACGUGGCAAGAGUUUGGUUUUGGUUAAUGGUCAAAGUUAACCCCCAUACUCCGACUGCCUACAGGGUUUUUGGAUCACAUAAAAGGGUUCAUUUGCUCACUCAGCAAAGUUCCCAUCUGAAUGAGCCUUGAUUAAAGGCCACAAGUAAUUAUUUUAGUAGCAGUAAGUAUUCAUGUCCUUGCCAUUUACAUACCGGAACCUCACUUAUUUUUGGUUCAAUUUCUUUUCUGCCAAGUUGUCAAGGCUGGUUGCCAGCCUGACACCAAUUCUCCUUUAACUUGGUGCUAGUAGACUCUGCUCUGUCAACCAUGAAAUACACAAUAAUUUAUAAUUUUGAAACCUAAAAAACCAACACACUAAAUUGUGGUUUCUUCUAAUUUUCACCAUCAUUAUAUCAUGUAGCAUGCCUGUAAGGAAAGUACAAUAAGCCUUAAAGGACCAAUACAAAGUCCAUGGCUCCAUGCAACUUAUGUCCUAAAGCCCCUGGGGAUGGAGGCCAAACCAUAUUUUAGCUCUGUAAACUUCGAUGUCAAGUGCCUUUCAUCAUAAACAUCUCCAACAACAUCACAUGUUCACAUCAAUAAUAUUUCAAAAUGUUAGAAUGGCUUUGUGCGACUGAAAUCACGGCCUCUCCAUGACACAGUUAGGUAUCAGCUGCUUGGGCUAUGUCCCACAAAUUUCUACAUCUUUUAAAACAAAAUAUGGCAUACUAUAUGCAUGUUUCACUUUGGCUUGCCGGAGUCUUGGCUCAUUUCUUCGUAUGCAUACUGCUGACAAGCUUUAUGUUAAAGUUGCCAAUUUUUUUUACUAGCUAGAUAACUUACCUGAAAUCUAAGGUUUAGAAAUUGUUUAUAUUGCAGCAUAGUAUGAGUAUCUUGAAUGACACCACUAACAAAAUCUCUUUCAAAUUACAGAUCAGCUUCUGUUUUGUUUUGCUCCCAGCAGUAUCACUAGCUUACAUUGGGCAAGCUGCAUAUCUCACCAAAUUCCCUGAGGAAGUUGCUGAUACUUUUUACAAAUCAAUUCCAGGUAAGGCAUCUAGAGCAUCAAUAGUGGCAAUUUCUACAAAUUAAUUUUUGGCUUAUAUACAAGUUAUAAAGGAUUAUCUUAAAUUGUUUGCAGAUCCACUAUUCUGGCCAACAUUUAUAGUGGCUGUCUCUGCUGCCAUCAUUGCUAGCCAAGCUAUGAUAUCUGGUGCAUAUGCAAUCAUAUCACAGUCACAAGCUCUAGGAUGCUUCCCAAGGGUUAGAGUUUUCCACACUUCUGCUAAAUAUGAAGGGCAGGUUUAUAUUCCUGAAAUAAACUUUGGACUCAUGGCUGCCUGUGUAAUAGUGACAGCUAGCUUCAGAACAACAGAAAAGAUCGGAAAUGCUUAUGGUAAGUAUAAAAGGUCAUAUAUUUGUCAUAAAAAUUAUCUAUUGGGUAUUUAUUUUGGUUUCUGAAGGAAAAUUUGGAUUCCUGAAGCUAUAUACAAAAUAACCUUACUAAAAUGACUGUGCAAAUAUAACUGAACAAACCAACUAGAACACCACAUGUACAGGACUUUGAUGUUUCCCCUUGUAUGGAAUGUCAUGACCAAUGACACUGCACAUCUGAGAGAUAUGCAUCUCUAGCAGAAGUGGAAAAAAUAAAAAGUCGGAUAACCAUUAGUAAAAUCCAAGCAAUUACCAAUUUAGAAAAACUCAAUCCAUGUUAGAAAGCUAUUCAAGAGUCUCUGCUUUACCUCAUGCGAACCUUGUCCUAUACCAUUUGAUCAGUAAACUUAUAUGGAAACCACUCUUUUAUAUCUUUUACUAAACAAUGUAGAAACAUGAAUAACUACUUGGCAUCUGCAACAGCUUAUUAUUAAUAACCAAUUAUCAGAUUCAAAUACUAGGCAAGAAAAGACUUAAACAUAGGGCACGUAUGUCAAAUUAUGGCAUUCCUAGGCAUAUGCAAGUUUUCCAGAACACAUUUUACCUUAUUAUAUUCCUUGAUUUUUUUUCUUUUUUGGAUAACUUAACUUGGAUGUAACUAGGUUUUUUGUAUAAUCUUAUUGUUAUUUCAACAUUGUAAACUUUUCUUUUAAAAAAAAGACAGAUCUGGUUCAGACCUCUGAUAAAAUAAUGAAUACAUAAACUUCAGAAAAGAAGAGCAGUAGUAGAUAUCAAGAAGGAAAAAAAAAAUGUUUGUUUGCAGAAUGAACCAAACACAAUGCCUGAUACUUGCAUUACCAAUUGACAUCUACAAGGGUAAAGAAACCAAAACAACUUCACAAAAUGAAAUGGCACAAGGAUCAAUCCCCUACACUUUUCAUGUUUUCAAAUCCACCCAGCAGGGAGAAUUCAUAAUUGGUGUUCCUCAGUAUUAUCAUCAAUUUUUUAUGAACAAAUUAUGGUGUUAGCUGUAGUCCUCAUAAUUGUGAGCAUAAAAAAGAAACUUUAGAAUUUCCUUCCCUCCUGCCAAUUACUGUUGCUUGUUUGGCACCACUCCCCCAAGGGGUUACCCUUGCAGGAGGUCAAAGAUUCCUAUGUCUUGCUCAAAAACAAUUUCCCUCCUCUCCUAGAAAUUUCAAUAAGAAAAAGAAAAAAGGCAGCUAGAUUGGGUUUCUUUACCACAAAAAGACAAGAAGGUCCUGUACAAGCAGUAACAGAGACCACUUGCUGCCCUUAACACAUCUUUGAUCUACAAAGUUGCAGAAGAAGAUCUUUUGUAAUUAUAAACAAAUAACUCGGAUCACAUUCAUCAACCAAUAAUAAAUCUACCAGGAUAAGAAUCAAAAGGGACAUCAAGAUGUAGUGAUACCAGCACUAUGGCUCCAACUUUCAAGUGCUGGUCCAUGCCUGUCAGCACAUUUCAUGCUGGGUCUGUACCCGCACAUAAUAUUGGGUCAGCAUCAGAUAGCAGGUAAGCUGCUCCAUACCAAGUUGUGCCGACUUAUAUCAACUGCUGCCACUUGGUGUCAAGCCAAAAUGGCUCUUAAGACUCUCUCUCUCUCUCUCUCUCUCUCUCUCACACACACACACACACAUAUGUAUGUGUGUGUGGCAUGUGGGCUGGCAUGACAUAGGAUCUGCUAUGCUGGCACUUCCUGUGCUAGCAGCACUUCAAUAUUUGAUCAACGCCAUAAAAAUUUAUGCCAGCUUCUACCAACUUCUCCAUUUUGUUUUUGAGACAUCUAAAGUAUCAUUAUAUAUCCCUGUGCAGGAAUUGCAGUGGUUUCUGUAAUGCUGAUCACAACAUCCAUGGUCACACUUAUUAUGAUCGUCAUAUGGAAAACGAACAUUUGGUUGAUUAUAUUGUUCUUCUCACUGUUCAGUGCAAUAGAGAUCCUAUAUUUAUCUGCAGUCCUAUACAAGUUUGUAGAUGGUGGAUUCCUACCACUGGCCUUCUCAUUUUUUAUGAUGCUAAUAAUGGGUAUAUGGCACUAUGUGCAUGUAAAAAGAUACAAAUUCGAGCUCAAACACAUAGUUUCAAGGGAUUACAUAACACAAUUAGCCUUGAAACAAGAUGUAAGAAGGAUACCAGGGGUUGGAUUUCUAUACUCCGAGCUCGUCCAAGGCAUCCCACCCAUAUUCAGCCACUUUGUUGAGAAAAUACCCUCCAUUCAUUCUGUUCUUGUCUUUGUUUCAAUAAAGCACUUGCCAAUCAGUAGAGUGGAAAUGGAAGAACGCUUUCUUUUCAGACAAAUUGGACCCAGAGACUACAGAAUGUUCCGAUGUGUGGUACGCUAUGGAUAUAAUGAUGUUCUGGAAGAGGCCAAGGAAUUUGAACUAUUGCUCAUUGAACAACUGAAGCAGUUUAUCCACCAUGAGUACUUCUUUAUUGAAAGUGGACCUGCUAAGCAAAGUGAUCCACUCCCUGAGGGAGAAAACCUUGCAAGCUCGGAGCUUGAAACAAGCGAAACCAAGCCACAAAGAUCAGGAUCAUCCACAGUGCAUGUUGAGGAAACAAUGAGACCACAAAGUUCACCUAAUGACUCUUCAAGAUCUAUCCAUUAUGGUAUCAGCAAAUGCUCAACAAACUCUUCUGGCAGAAAUACGGUUGCACAGAUUCCAUCAGUUGAAGAGGAGAAACAGUUUGUUCAGAAAGAAAUGGAGAAGGGGGUGGUAUAUCUAUUGGCAGAAGCUGAAGUCGUAGCAGAGAAUAAUUCCUCUAUUGUCAAGAAAUUAGUGGUCAACUACAUCUACAAUUUCAUAAGAAGAAACAUCAGGCAGGGAGAAAAGGCUUUGUCAAUUCCACGCAGCAAGCUGCUCAAGGUGGGAAUGACAUAUGAAAUCUAGAACAUCCAAACAAGCUUCAUUGUCAGUUGUCACAGUAUUAUCCAGAUAAUGUCCCACUUGUAUUCCACAACAGUGUGAACUGUGCUAUAGUUUAUGGCAACUGAUGAUGGGUUGGCUGGUAAAGCCAAAAACUCCUGUAACAAUAAAUGACCAGAAUUCCAUGUGAAAAGAAAUCAAUCACACAACUAUGCUUCUGUAUACUUUGGACUCCUAAGGUAUAAUAUAGAGAUUAAGAGGCAUGCAUUAUGAUAUGCUUGAAGAUAUAUUAUUUCAAUAAUUUCUCUUUGGCCAUCAGCCCAGUUGUUCCCAUGAUGAGAGAAAACAGACUUCAGAUUUAUAGAUCAAUAUGUCAUUUACAGAUUUCUUAUUGCUUCUGAAAAAAAGAAAUGGUGACAACCUACCAAACUUAGUCACCAAAAUCUUUUAAAAUAGAAAGAUUAACCAAAUAUGUGGAAAACAGACCACCUUACAUUUAUUCGAGAAAAACAGACCAUAUGAUUCCAGACCACUAUAAUAUUCUGGUGUUAAUAUUCUAACAGUCCCUCAUGAGAAAAAUGAAGAGCAAGACCUGGCUUUCAUAAUUGCAUUAGGAACUGGACUAACACAUUAUAAUAACCAAAAAUAUUCUUUAAUGAAAGAGACUGGAAUGUAUAGUCAACUUGCAAUAGCACUGGCUUGUAGAUCAUUCAUCAGGGAGGAAAAUAAUUUUAGUCUCCUCCAAUAAUGGAGGUAAUCAAAUUCCUCGUUCUCCAGUGCAGUAAGGAACUUCAUGUAGGUAUAUUUUACUUAAGUAACAAUUCAACAAGAGAACUUCAAUAAUUUAUGAUGAUAUUAAUUAAUGACAUAAAGAACAUGCAAUAUGCAUAAAUUUAUAUUUAUUUAUGGAGCUUCAGAUUUGGGUUGCUUGGUGUAUGGCAAGUUAAACUUAAUAAAACUUUGUUUCUGAUUUUGUAAUACAGACCCAGUGGGGUAGCUUAUUGGGCCUAUUUUCUAGGCUCAAACCCUAAAUUUUGGAUUGGUUUUGUUUUGGGUUGGUGGAUUAUCAGCCUCAAAGCUACCCCCACAGGGAAGCUCAAGGUCAUGCAUCCUAAUUCAUACAGACGAGUGUACAGGAUGGCACAAGUUCGAUUGGGCUCAUCCCAGACCUGCCUGCCCAGCCCACCCAUUGGAUAGGGUUGGGUUGAGGUUUUAUAAACUUAAUGCUUGGGCUUAACGAUCCUAACCUGACCUCAAGUAGGUCUGGGUUAGGGUUGACUUUCAACCCAACCCUAACUGAACCCAAAUCUGAUCCAACUUGACUUAACCCCUCUUAACUUGAUAUAUAAAUACAUAAUUCAUAUUCAUAUUUCAUACAAGUUAUUUAUAUAGUUAUAUACAUAUGUUUUCAAUUUCAUUAACUUAUAUAUAACUAUACAAUUGAACUUUAUGAAUGAUUGAGAUCUCGAUUCAAUAAAUAUCGAAUAAAAAUGUCCCAAGCAUUUCUCUAAAAAAUUUCUAUUCAAUAUUAUUAAUGGAAAAGAUAAUUUUGUAUUUCUUAUUUUCAUCUCCAUGAAUACAACUCUUUAAAUAGACUAAAAGAGAAUUGCUACUAUGGUAUCUUUACAAUUAUAUCCAAACACAUAUGGAAGCUAUACAAUUGUGUCUAAUAAUCAAAUAAGUAUGGUAAAUUUGAUCUUGGAAUCUCUAUAAUAAUCACUACCAUUAUAGCCAUGAUAUUUACGACUAUAAUAGCUAUGAUAUUCUGACCAUAACAACCAUGAUAUUCUGAUCUUGAAAUCUUUGAGAAUAGCCAUGAUAUUCUGACCAUAAUAGUCAUGAUAUUCUGAUCUUGAAAUCUUUGAGGUCAUGCUUACCAUAGUAGUCAUGAUCUUGACAACUCAUUAUAAUAUUCACCAUGAUUCUAUAUUUUAUUCUUAACACCCCCCCUCAAGCUGAAGCAUAGAUAUUAAUCAUGCCCAGCUUGUCACAAAUAUAAUCAAUCCUAGUCCGAGUAAGACUCUUUGUAAAUAAAUCGGCUAGUUGAUCCUCUGAGUGUAUGUAACUGAUAGAAAUGAGCUUUUGCUGAAUUUUCUCCCUCACAAAGUGACAAUCAACUUCGAUGUGUUUCGUCCUCUCAUAAAACAUUGGAUUUGAUGGAAAUGAGCUUUUGCUGAAUUUUCUCCCUUACAAAGUGACAAUCAACUUCGAUGUGCUUCAUCCUCUCAUGAAACACUGGAUUUGAUGCAAUAUGCAUAGCUGCCUGAUUAUCACACCACAGCUUCAUAGGAGAAGAAUCUAUAAGAUCAAUCUUUUCUAGAAAAUAUCGAAUCCACAUCAAUUCACAUAUUGUCUAUGCCAUGACCUAGUAUUCUGAUUCUGCACUUGACCGAGAGAUUAUAUUUUGUUUCUUACUCUUCUAAGAUAUUAAAUUUUCUCCCAUAAAUACACAAUAUCCUGUUGUAGACUUCCUAUCAUUAAGCAAACCUGCCCAAUCAGCAUCAGUGAACCCCUCAAUCUGUAUACCACCAUGAUCUCCAUACACAAUACCCUUUCCUGGGGUUCCUUUUAAGUAUCUCACUAUACGGAUUAAGGCAUCCCAAUGUACAGUAGUGGACGCUAUCAUGAACUGACUCAAUACACUCACAGGAAAUGCAAUGUCUGGUCGAGUGAUUGUGAGGUAGUUGAGUUUUCCAACAAGUCUUCUGUAUUUCUCUGGUCCAGUAAACAUCUCUGCUUCAUCUACUACAAGUUUGAUAUUUGGAUCCAUAGGAGUUUCGCAAGGCUUUGCUCCAAGUAGACCAAUAUCUGUUAAAAGAUCUAGAACAUACUUUCUUUGAGAAAGAAAUAUAUCUUUUUUUGAGUAAGCUAGUUCAAUCCCAAGAAAGUAUUUCAGUUGUCCCAAAUCUUUUGUUUGAAAACUUGCCUGAAGAAACUCCUUUAGUGAAGAAAUACCCUGUGCGUCGCUCCCUGUAAUCACAAUAUCAUCAAUAUACACAAUCAAAAGGCAAAUAUCAACAUCCCCCCACCUCCACUUAGAAAUUUCAAUGAGAAGAAAAAGAGAAAAGGCAAACUUAUUGAGGUUCUUCAUCAAAAUAAUAAAUGGUCUUAGUUAUCAGUGGCAUAAAAAGGCCAGCAUUACCCUUCACCACUUCCCUAAAUUUAGAAAGAUGUAGAAGAUGGCAUUAGGAUAAGAUCAAUCAAUAAUCAAUAUACUAGUAUAAGAAUCAAGUAAAAGGUAUUAGGAUGUGGCAUCUCAAAACGUUACACAGGACUGAACAAAUGAUAAUUGACACAUCAAACAUUUAUUUCAGUUGCUGCUAACUUUUCUGCUUUGUUUGUCAAAACACCUCUGGAAAUUUUGUAGCUCCUUUCGCAGGAUUCCCAGUGGUUUCUGUUAUGCUCAUUGCAACACUCAUGGUCACAGCCAUCAUGCUUUUCAUAUGGGAAACAAAGAUUUGGUGGAUUGUACUGUUCUUCUCUGUGUACACUAUUAUAGAGAUCGUGUAUAUAUCUUCACUUCUGUACAACUUUGUAGAUGCUGGUUUUCUACCACUGGCCUCAUUUUUCAUGAUGCACAUAAUGGGUAUCUGGCACUAUAUACACAAAAAGAUACAAGUUUGAGCUCAAAAACAAAGUAUCAAGUGAUUACACAGCAGAAUUGGUCUUGAAACAAGAUGUAAGAAGGAUACCUAGAAUUGGUCUCCUAUACUCAGAACUUGUGCAAGGCAUUGCACCUAUAUUUUCCCACUUUGUUGAGAAAAUACCCCCAUCCAUUCUGUCCUCAUGUUUGUGUCAGCGAAACACUGGCCAAUAAGUGAAGUGGAAAUGCAGGAACACUGUCUUUUCAGACAGGCUGGGCCAAGAGACUGUAGAAUGUUCCAAUGUGUGGUACGCUAUAGAUAUAAAGAUGUUUUUGAAGAGGCCAAGGAAUUCGGAAAUUUGCUCAUUCAGCAACUGAAACAAUUUGUCCACCACAAGUACUUUUUGAAAGUGGGCCUGCUAGGCAAAGUGAUCCUCUGCACGAGGCAGCAAACCUUGCAAGCUCUGCAUUUGAAACAAAUGACACCAAGCAAUGAAGAUCAGGAUUGUCCACCAGUGCCCACCGAAGAAACACUGAAACCAUGAAAUUCACCUAAUUUCUCUUCAAGAUCUAUUCAUUAUAGGACAAUCAAUGCUCAACAAACUCUUCAGGCAAAAUUGCUGUUGGUCAAACCCAGUCGGCUGAAAAUGAGAAACAGUUCAUUCACAAAGAUCUGAAGAAUGGGGUGAUGUAUCUAACGGAGAAACUGAAGUGGUGGCAGAGAACAAUUCCUUUAUUAUCAAUAAAGUAGUUAUUAACAUCUGCAAUUUCAUGAGGAGAGACUUCAGGCAGGAAGAAAAGGUUUUAUCAAUUCUGCAGGGCAAGCUGCACAAGUUGGGGAAUAACAUAUGAAACUAGGUUCUGUCCUAAUGAGAUUCAUAAUCACUAUAUCAUCCAAAUAAUAGUCUACUUGUAAUCCACAACAAGGUUAUCAUCAUGGAGAGGUGAUGAUGGAUUGGCUGGACAAUCUAAAGCUCAAGUAAGAAUAAAUGACCAUAAUCCAUGGGACAAGAAGUCAAGCACAUAAUGCAAUAUGAUUCUCUUAUUCUAGACCAUAAAUUCUCGAAUGUGCCCAUAUUUGCUUUAUAAGAGGGGGCAGACAUUCUAAUAUGCUUGAGAAUAUCUUAGAUCAAUAUUUUCUCUUUAGCUUUCCUUUUAAUUCAUCUACCAUUUGUCCCGAUGAUGAAAGAAAAGAUAUUACUAUGUCUCCCUCUGCUAAUAAAAACCUACCACAUUUAUUAGUAAGAACUUCUUAAAUGAGAAAUAUCUUUCUCACCUAUGUUUGCAAUUUCAUUUGACUGAACCAAAAUUUUGAAACUACUGCUUUCUUUUUUUUCUUUUGCCGGGUGGUGGGGGGGCAUGCAACUUGUGUUCAUGAUAUAAACACAAGUUCAUAAGCCUUACCAAUUCCUUUCAAAUUUUUUUUUGUAUAUUUUAAUCAGAAAAAAGGGUCUACGAAGCUCGAGGCCCGACCCAAGAUAUGUAAGUACCCGGCUCGGCGCCUGACUAAUUUCACUUUUAUCUUUCGUUGAGCCCUGCCCGAACCUGGCAUGGCCUGCCCAUUGAACAGGUCCAAUAUGCCCCAAAACCAACUAACGGUUUACCAAUAUCGGUAAGCUUUUCACCGAAACACUUCACAUCUUUUUGCUCCUAAAAUGCUGUGCAACUCAUUUUGAUCAGCUCCUGCAUGGGCAAUUAGCUUUCCAUUCACCAAGUAAUAAUGCAUGAGAAAAAUAUCGACCAAAGCAACAAAAGCAAAGCAGCAGGUAUUUCUGCUAUUGAUCUUGGCAAUUAUAAAGUUUUAGGCUUAUACUAUUUCCAUCUACAUUUCUCUAAGCACCUCAACUGGUUCUAUAAACGACCGAAAUGGGUAUACGCUACAUCAGUUCUACUCAAACAAGCCAUAAUCCUUCCAAAGCAUUACAUCAAACGGUUUACAAGCAUUGCGUUCCCAAACUUAAGAGGAAACCCUUGUGGAAAUACAGGAAGAAAAAAGAAAUCACUGCGAUGGAAAAAAAAAAAUCCUCGAUGAAUUAUUAAAAAAGCUUCAGAAUCAGGGAUUUACCUUUCGAUAUGCGCAUCGGAUCGUAAAGAGAGAUCGCUCGCUCGAAGAAAAACCUGUGGCGGUAUGGAUGAGCCCAUCUGCGUCUACAGGUGCUACCGACCUAUCGCGCAGUACCGGAUCCGGUUUCUACUAAGUUUGGACCCGGAUUCACCGAGAACUCCCUUUCUUUAUUUUUUUUCCCCUUUUUGGGGUUGUGGUGGGGGAUCGAGGACACACCAAACUCUUUAUGCACCACGGACGGUGCACGAAACCU
rnacentral:lncRNA from 1 species